CGGAGUUACCUGAACGCCGUUGGGCUGCGAAAACGCCUACUCCAACGUCCUGGGGGUCAAGGGGUCGUGGGUUCAAAUCCCGCCGUCCCGA
rnacentral:tRNA from 1 species